UGCCAGCAGCCGCGGUAAUACGGAGGGUGCGAGCGUUAAUCGGAAUUACUGGGCGUAAAGCGUACGCAGGCGGUUUGUUAAGCGAGAUGUGAAAGCCCCGGGCUCAACCUGGGAACUGCAUUUCGAACUGGCAAACUAGAGUGUGAUAGAGGGUGGUAGAAUUUCAGGUGUAGCGGUGAAAUGCGUAGAGAUCUGAAGGAAUACCGAUGGCGAAGGCAGCCACCUGGGUCAACACUGACGCUCAUGUACGAAAGCGUGGGGAGCAGACGGGAUUAGAUACCCCGGUAGUCCACGCCGUAAACGAUGUCUACUAGAAGCUCGGAACCUCGGUUCUGUUUUUCAAAGCUAACGCAUUAAGUAGACCGCCUGGGGGAGUACGGCCGCAAGGUUAAAACUCAAAUGAAUUGACGGGGGCCCGCACAAGCGGUGGAGCAUGUGGUUUAAUUCGAUGCAACGCGAAGAACCUUACCUACUCUUGACAUCCAGAGAAUUCGCUAGAGAUAGCUUAGUGCCUUCGGGAACUCUGAGACAGGUGCUGCAUGGCUGUCGUCAGCUCGUGUUGUGAAAUGUUGGGUUAAGUCCCGCAACGAGCGCAACCCUUAUCCUUGUUUGCCAGCACGUAAUGGUGGGAACUCCAAGGAGACUGCCGGCGAUAAACCGGAGGAAGGUGGGGACGACGUCAAGUCAUCAUGGCCCUUACGAGUAGGGCUACACACGUGCUACAAUGGCGUAUACAGAGGGCUGCAACCAGCGAUGGUGAGCGAAUCCCAGAAAGUACGUCGUAAUCCGGAUUGGAGUCUGCAACUCGACUC
rnacentral:rRNA from 1 species